GACGAACGCUGGCGGCGUGCCUAAUACAUGCAAGUCGAGCGGAUGGAUGGGAGCUUGCUCCCUGAAGUCAGCGGCGGACGGGUGAGUAACACGUGGGCAACCUGCCCCUAAGAUCGGGAUAACUUCGGGAAACCGGAGCUAAUACCGGAUAUGAUUAUGUCUCACAUGAGACAUAAUGGAAAGACGGUUUCGGCUGUCACUUAGGGAUGGGCCCGCGGCGCAUUAGCUAGUUGGUGAGGUAACGGCUCACCAAGGCGACGAUGCGUAGCCGACCGGAGAGGGUGAUCGGUCACACUGGGACUGAGACACGGACCAGACUCCUACGGGAGGCAGCAGUAGGGAAUCUUCCGCAAUGGACGAAAGUCUGACGGAGCAACGCCGCGUGAGUGAAGAAGGUUUUCGGAUCGUAAAACUCUGUUGUUAGGGAAGAACAAGUACCAUAGUAACUGAUGGUACCUUGACGGUACCUAACCAGAAAGCCACGGCUAACUACGUGCCAGCCGCCGCCGUAA
rnacentral:rRNA from 1 species